AUCCUGGCUCAGGAUGAACGCUGGCGGCGUGCUUAACACAUGCAAGUCGAACGAUGAAGCCAGCUUGCUGGUGGAUUAGUGGCGAACGGGUGAGUAACACGUGAGUAACCUGCCCUUGACUCUGGGAUAAGCCUGGGAAACUGGGUCUAAUACCGGAUAUGACUCCUCAUCGCAUGGUGGGGGGUGGAAAGCUUUUUGUGGUUUUGGAUGGACUCGCGGCCUAUCAGCUUGUUGGUGAGGUAAUGGCUCACCAAGGCGACGACGGGUAGCCGGCCUGAGAGGGUGACCGGCCACACUGGGACUGAGACACGGCCCAGACUCCUACGGGAGGCAGCAGUGGGGAAUAUUGCACAAUGGGCGAAAGCCUGAUGCAGCGACGCCGCGUGAGGGAUGACGGCCUUCGGGUUGUAAACCUCUUUCA
rnacentral:rRNA from 1 species